UACGUAGGGGGCAAGCGUUGUCCGGAAUCAUUGGGCGUAAAGAGCGUGUAGGCGGCUCGGUAAGUCCGCUGUAAAAGUCAAAGGCUCAACCUUUGAAUGUCAGUGGAUACUGCCGGGCUAGAGUCCGGAAGAGGCGAGUGGAACUCCUGGUGUAGCGGUGGAAUGCGCAGAUAUCAGGAAGAACACCCGUGGCGAAGGCGGCUCUCUGGGACGGUACUGACGCUGAGACGCGAAAGCGUGGGGAGCGAACAGG
rnacentral:rRNA from 1 species